CCUUCGAUAGCUCAGUUGGUAGAGCGGUGGACUGUAGAAAUUUGGGAAAGUUAAAUGUGUGUAUCGUACCUCCUGAGGUUCGAUCACUUGAUCAAGCUUUUCCGAUCGAGUAGAAAUCCAUAGGUCACUGGUUCAAAUCCGGUUCGAAGGA
rnacentral:tRNA from 2 species